rnacentral:lncRNA from 1 species
GCUUGAGUUCAUAUUGGCUCGUGCGCUCAUGGAAAGCUGAUGUGUGGCGCGCUCUGAGAGUCUCUCACAUUUCAGGAAGUGUCGGAAGUCCUCAGCUGCUGUCCGUCUGUCCUGCUCUAUAUUAUGGUCGCGCAGCCGUGAUCCGCGUGGAUCGUUGGUGUGGAUCUCCGGUGGGGCACCAUGUCCACCCGGUACAGCCCGAGGCGUGCGCUCCUGCUCCUGCCCGCGGUCUGCGCGCAUGUUGUGUCCGUGCUGACUGUCUGCUGCGCCGGGAGCAUGUUUACAGCCGCUGCCUAUCCGAAUCAACACGACACGCUGGAGCGUUAUGACAUAAUCAAACCACACCUGCUCAUUGGAGGACAGCAGAGACCGGUUAGUCUCAUAAAGUCAAUGGGUCAUCCUGGAUCACUGAAGGUGCUGAUUGAAGUGGAUGGAGAGCAACUGCUACUUGCUUUGCAGAAAAAUGAGUGGACGUAUGAACCAGACGAAACAAAAGAUGGAUUUUUGGAGUUGAAAUGGAGCCAUUUGCAUUGUUCUGCGUAAUGAGUCAGCAGUGUAAUAGAGAGGAAUAUUAGCUCUGUUCAAAGCCUAGUGAUCUGCUCAUGUUUGGUUUGAGUGAGGGGAUUCAGAAAAACCACUGGCCAUAAAUAGCUCUUAUUGCACAUGAAAUUGGAUUUUGUACUAGAUUAAUAAUAAAAAAAAGUGUCUUCAUGAUUUAAGCAGUGUUUAAUCUUCUACAUGACCGAUGUAUACUGACGUUCCUCAUCUAAUGACGAAAAGGGAGUUACAGC